UGCAAGUCGAACGGUAACAGGUCUUCGGAUGCUGACGAGUGGCGAACGGGUGAGUAAUACAUCGGAACGUGCCCGAGAGUGGGGGAUAACGAAGCGAAAGCUUUGCUAAUACCGCAUACGAUCUCAGGAUGAAAGCAGGGGACCGCAAGGCCUUGCGCUCACGGAGCGGCCGAUGGCAGAUUAGGUAGUUGGUGGGAUAAAAGCUUACCAAGCCGACGAUCUGUAGCUGGUCUGAGAGGACGACCAGCCACACUGGGACUGAGACACGGCCCAGACUCCUACGGGAGGCAGCAGUGGGGAAUUUUGGACAAUGGGCGCAAGCCUGAUCCAGCCAUGCCGCGUGCAGGAUGAAGGCCUUCGGGUUGUAAACUGCUUUUGUACGGAACGAAAAGACUCUGGUUAAUACCUGGGGUCCAUGACGGUACCGUAAGAAUAAGCACCGGCUAACUACGUGCCAGCAGCCGCGGUAAUACGUAGGGUGCGAGCGUUAAUCGGAAUUACUGGGCGUAAAGCGUGCGCAGGCGGUUAUGUAAGACAGAUGUGAAAUCCCCGGGCUCAACCUGGGAACUGCAUUUGUGACUGCAUAGCUAGAGUACGGCAGAGGGGGAUGGAAUUCCGCGUGUAGCAGUGAAAUGCGUAGAUAUGCGGAGGAACACCGAUGGCGAAGGCAAUCCCCUGGGCCUGUACUGACGCUCAUGCACGAAAGCGUGGGGAGCAAACAGG
rnacentral:rRNA from 1 species